rnacentral:rRNA from 2 species
GGGGCCUAAUCCUGCAGUCGAGCGAACUGAUUAGAAGCUUGCUUCUAUGACGUUAGCGGCGGACGGGUGAGUAACACGUGGGCAACCUGCCUGUAAGACUGGGAUAACUUCGGGAAACCGAAGCUAAUACCGGAUAGGAUCUUCUCCUUCAUGGGAGAUGAUUGAAAGAUGGUUUCGGCUAUCACUUACAGAUGGGCCCGCGGUGCAUUAGCUAGUUGGUGAGGUAACGGCUCACCAAGGCAACGAUGCAUAGCCGACCUGAGAGGGUGAUCGGCCACACUGGGACUGAGACACGGCCCAGACUCCUACGGGAGGCAGCAGUAGGGAAUCUUCCGCAAUGGACGAAAGUCUGACGGAGCAACGCCGCGUGAGUGAUGAAGGCUUUCGGGUCGUAAAACUCUGUUGUUAGGGAAGAACAAGUACAAGAGUAACUGCUUGUACCUUGACGGUACCUAACCAGAAAGCCACGGCUAACUACGUGCCAGCAGCCGCGGUAAUACGUAGGUGGCAAGCGUUAUCCGGAAUUAUUGGGCGUAAAGCGCGCGCAGGCGGUUUCUUAAGUCUGAUGUGAAAGCCCACGGCUCAACCGUGGAGGGUCAUUGGAAACUGGGGAACUUGAAUGCAGAAACAAAAGCUGAAUUCCACGUGUAGCGNUGAAAUGCGUAGAGAUGUGGAGGAACACCCGUGGCGAAGGCGGCUUCUUUGGCCUGUAACUGACGCUGAG